AGGUUCUGCUUUCUGGCGACAACAUGCCAGAAAGGUCUUUGCUGUGACCGAGGGAGAAAUUGAAAGGCUGUGAAGCCACAAAAGAAGGCGAGAAAGCAACCAGACUGUGUCUGUGGAGGACAAUCUGGAAGUUGUGUCCAGAAAGUUAAGAAAGCUGGUUGACUAUAUGUCAACAGCAAUCAAUUGACCCUCACACCCCCACAGAAGGAGGCAAUUAAAACUGCCUUCAGCUGUUUAAUUUGUACAGAAAUGAUGAAGGAACCCAUUUUUGGUGAGUGCUGCCGAAGCCUGCUAGGAUGCAGUGUGUGUGUGGACAGGUGGAUGGAGGAUCACGACUACUGCCCGAAGUGCAGAGGGGCUGUCUUUGACGUUCAUAGGCAUUCAGUGGUGGGGUUAGAUGAAGCCUUGGCUGCUAUUCAGCACCUGUUUUCUUAAGAAGCGAAAAUAACGUGUAACCAGAAUUAUGUAAAAAUCUUAAUACUAAAGGAUAUUUAAUAAUUUAACA